UACGGAGGAUCCAAGCGUUAUCCGGAUUUAUUGGGUUUAAAGGGUGCGUAGGCGGACUAAUAAGUCAGAGGUGAAAUGCCAGAGCUUAACUGUGGCACUGCCUUUGAUACUGUUAGACUUGAGUACAUUUGAAGUGGGCGGAAUGUGUCGUGUAGCGGUGAAAUGCUUAGAUAUGACACAGAACGCCGAUUGCGAAGGCAGCUCACUAAACUGUAACUGACGCUGAUGCACGAAAGCGUGGGGAU
rnacentral:rRNA from 1 species